rnacentral:SRP_RNA from 10 species
CUGCGAUUCGCGAGCCCUGUCAGCCUCGGAUAGCAGCAGCUUUAAGACUGCUCCUGCG